UUUCAAUCUGAGCUGAUUGCUGAGGGCUGGUCACUGGGGUCUGGGCUGCUCUGCAGGGUGGUUCCAUCAAGUGUUGCCUCCAUCCUGGGUACCAAGCCAUAGGGCUGAGCUCUGUAACAGUGCAACAGCCCCUAGCACUCUGAUAAUAUCAGGGCCUGCUGACAGCAUACAGAGGACAGAGCAGGAGUUGAUUCCUCCUGUUGUGCCUGGUCAGCAGUCAGUGAGCCAGGAGAGCAGCAAGCAGCUCUGAGGGCAGAUACAGUGCUAAAAAGACCCCUGAAAAAAGUUAAUGAAAAGCAAUUACCAAGGAGUGCUUUAAUGGAAAGGAGCUGCGUGGGAGCCAGCCUUGUCCUUGUGGAUGUCGGUACGGAAGGGCUCUCCCAUAAGGCUGUUACCAUGACAGAUCGCUGCUCAGCGGCGUGAGUGUGACGUGGGCUGUGGAAGAAAGGAGGCAUUGAGAGGCACUGAAUGUUAUCUUGUCAAGGUACAGUUGUCAGCAGCAAUGCCAACUCUUCCCCUAUGAAUACCAGUGCAUCAUCAGCCCUGCAUGGAGUGUUUCAGCUCAGCAGCACUGUGUGUGUCCCCAGGCAUUGGCAGCUGGUACUGAAGGUGGUGGCCCCAGGCUGGCA
rnacentral:lncRNA from 1 species